GUUUCCUGCAACUUUUUUUACCAUCGUCAACAAUUGAUUUGUUAAAAUAAACUUUUUUUUGCCGAACAUAGUGAAAGGCCACAUGAAGCUUCCGUUUGCCGCUCCUCGGUUGUUAAUCGGGAUCCACAGUUCGGUUUUGAACAUGGCACACAACCAUUAAAUAUUUGAUCUCAACUGAGUGUUUUGAUUGUUGGCUCAAGCUGAAGCUGUCAAAGAUUACUGCAAGUUGGGGUGUACAUUUAACAUUUGCACCUAAAAAAAAAGUUAGGGUGUACAUCCUUUCUGUGCGGUUCAUUGACCACUCUCCAAAAUUCCGGUAAAGCAAACUUCUUAAGCUCGUCAAUUGAAAACAGAGUAAUCCUAAGCAAGCAUUGUGGAUGGAGCGAUGCAACAGUGUUUCAAAGCAUCUACUACUUUACUAAGACAAGCAUAUCAGCUAAGUUUCAGAGUGUUGUUAAUGUUUUCACAGAGCCGUCUGUUAGUAUUUUAAUAAGUUGUUUCUGGUUUGUGUAUGUAUCGUAGAAGGUU